UCCCUGGUGGCUCAGACGGUAAAGCGUCUGCCUACAGUGCGGGAGACCCAGGUUCAGUCCCUGGGUUGGGAA
rnacentral:tRNA from 1 species